UUGUCAGGAGAGGCCACUGAUUUGGUGGCUUUGAUGACCCAGGGGCCUCCUGGGGCUUCAGCCGGCAGAAGUGAGAACAGUGAGCUCGUAAACGUUCACCAGGACUGCUUGGCAUGCAGUACUGAUAAACAGCAUUACACAAAACUGGAGCACAACUGUAGGAGCUUUCUAUCCGAUCCAGAUGAUGACAGUGAGGAAGAUUAUAAAACUUUUAGCAGGACACUGGAACGGACACACAGGAUGCCAGUAGGAACAGAAGAGAGUAAGGUGAGCAGAUAGAGCCCCCUGUGUACUUGUUAUAAAUGCAAGCCUUCAAUCUGACAAACAUAUUAUCCUGUUGUGUGUGUGGGUGUGUGCGCACGUGUGUGUGGAAAGGAUGGAAGCUCAGCAGCAAACUAUAGCAAGUGUUUAGUAGAACAAUGUAGCAAGUUCCUCACUCCAAGACCUGAUACAGAGAGUUUCUGCCCAGAAGCUAAUCUGCAUGUGACAAUGGAGGUGUGCCAGUCCAGCUCAGAAACAAAGGCACAAGGUAACCAGAUGCUACAGGAGGCAGUGCGGGAGCGGAACCUCCCUCCAUUGAUCAGUAAACCAGACCUGGUUGAAGAACUUUCAGACAUUUCCAGCAUCAUCGGCUCCCCGUUGCAGAAGACAAGCUGUUCCAUACAGAAGCCCAGUGUUAGUACACCAUUCAUCCCCCACAGCCCAAGUAGGAGGUGCUUUUUCCAAGAAUCAGGUAUCCCUUCUCUUCAGAGCCAACUGGAGACCACUCCGUGGUGCAGCCUUUCCCCAUUUCCUCAGAGCACAGUUACAUCAAGUGACAUCACAGUUGGUCUGAACCCAUCUGUAUUCAACCCUCUGCAGAACUCUGAUCAACAUAGAGACGAAUUUGAAUUCUACACAGCGAAUUCAGAUGAGAAACAGAUUGUACUGGCAGGAGAGGUGGAUCCAAAUAAACAUGUGUCAGACCACAACAACCUGUCUAGCUAUGAAGAGGAGGCCACAAGAAGUGACCGGCCUUCAGAUGAGGACUACAUUUCAGCUACAGACAGUCCAAAGAACACGCCAGGUCUUGAGUCAGAGCAAUUGGAUUCUGCUACAUCACACUACACAGAUCCAGCAAUCACUAUAAAUGAAACGAAGGUCCUGAAUCUUAUGAGCACCCCUGAAGUAGGUCCACCAAAUUGUUCCCAACCAGCUUGUAUUAACAAAUCAAAAAUUGACCUUUGAGCUUCUGGACGUUUGGGUUCCACGAUAAAACAAAAGGUUGUUGUCACCAGCAUUGUUACAAAUGUGUUCUACAUUGUACUCAUUCAUACAUGUGUUUGUUUUUUUUUCAUUGUUAAAUUGUUAAUUGAUAUUGUGUUAUCAUAUCAUGUGUUCAUGUCCUCUGGUCAUGUUCAGUUGUUAACUUAAUUGUUUGUACUUCAAAGUUUUCUAUUGUUACAAAUUUGAACUGAUAAAUUUCUUAAUUCAAAGUUCCUAUUUCCUCUGGGUGUUGUAUUAAUAUGCCCAUUACAAUUUACACUGUGGUCUUGAUAUGUUGGGUAUUUUUGGUAUGUGGUGGAUGGUUUUGGUGAACAGUUAGGGUAAAAAUUACUACCCCAGUGCAGCUUUCUAGUUUGCUAGCUGGAGUCAUAGUUCAUAGCUAAUAUUAGUUAAUAUAUAGUUAAUACUACUAACUUAGAAUGUUUUUAUCCACUUGAAACGGAAGAUUUUGUGGGCAAGUUUGUUUUGUGAUGUUUGGGCGCACACUGACAACUAAUCUUCCCAAAUGACAUACAGUGAAUAAAAAUCUUAAAAACAACUUAACA
rnacentral:lncRNA from 1 species